GGUUGGUCCAAGUGCAGUGGUGUUUACAACUAAUCGUUCACAACCAGUUAUCGAUUCCUUUGUUCCUUCUCCACUCCCACUGCUUCACUUGACCAGCCUUAA
rnacentral:Y_RNA from 1 species